UACCCGCCCCGGAGUGCAUAUAUAUAUAAAUAAAAUUUUAGAAAUUAGGGUUAGUUCUCACCGUCACUCCCUUUUAGUUCCCAACCCUAGGCAAACUCACUUUGUCACUUCUUCAGCUCUUCUCCAAGGACCAUAGCCUUGGUUUAGCUACACCAGACCACUAGUCGGUCGCUGACUCGCCGUCACAGUUCGUUCCGUCGCUGUAAGCCGGAGGCGUUGUCACAGUCGCCGUCGCUCACCAACCUUAGGAAUUAGGGCUCAGAUCCUCACCAGAUCCCCACGUCGGCUUCGCUCCCGCUUCUUGCCGUCACUAUCCUCGCCGACUCGCCUCUCCAAUCCGUGGUCUCUGGUCUUUGUCGUCCCUCCUUCAUCCCUCGUCGUCUCUCUGGUGACUGGUUUAAAUCUUGAUUUGCAAACUUUUAAUGAUGAUGAUGAUGUUGAAAGUGAUCAAGAAUAAGGGUUGAAGAUUUCUUUAUAUCUAAUAUUGUAAU